rnacentral:lncRNA from 1 species
AUUUUGCCCUCUGGUCCCAAUGCCUGAUGGGUUCCCCUGGGAUAUUUUGCCCAGGGCUCGUUCCGGGGGACAGGUCGCGUGCUGAACCUUUUGGAUCCUGAGCGGACGUACCUGGAGAACCCUGGGGAUGGGAGAGCUAAGGCCCCGGGGGACCCAUCGACUCCCUUCGAGCAAGUGCGGAGCCCGGCGGAGCGUCCCGGACACCGCGUCCGGCUCCCCACUCCACGGGCCGAAUCAGCUGCCGUCUGCGCCCCCGCGCGCCGCCCCCGGGGAGGUGCGUUAAUCACAAGUGAGUGCGACCUUGCAGCUGUGAUAAAUGCUAUAGAGAAGAAGCACAUUUUGCCGUGAGAGAGAUGUCACCUGACCAGGAUGGUCAGGGAGACGUUUUCUUCUGAGGAGAGCUGAGAGCUAAACAAUGACUUUGAGUUUUGGUUGGAGACUUCUGGAAAGGGCACAGGUACUCCAGGAAGACUAAUGUAUAGCCCCA